GGCCCGCACAAGCGGAGGAACAUGUGGUUUAAUUCGAUGCUACGCGAGGAACCUUACCCGGGCUUGAAAGUUAGCGACGGAGGCUGAAAGGCCUCUUCCCUUCGGGGCGCGAAACUAGGUGCUGCAUGGUUGUCGUCAGCUCGUGCCGUGAGGUGUCGGCUUAAGUGCCUUAACGAGCGCAACCCUUUUCUCCAGUUGCCAGCGCGUCAUGGCGGGAACUCUGGAGACACUGCCAUCGCAAGAUGUGAGGAAGGAUGGGAUGACGUCAAAUCAGCACGGCCCUUACGUCCGGGGCGACACACGUGUUACAAUGGGCAGGACAGCAAGGAACGAGGCGGCGACGCUGAGGGAAUCUCGAAACCUGCUCCCAGUUCGGAUCGGAGUCUGCAACCCGACUCCGUGAAGCUGGAUUCGCUAGUAAUCGCGCAUCAGCCAUGGCGCGGUGAAUACGUUCCCGGGC
rnacentral:rRNA from 1 species